CGCCUCUUGAAAAAAUCUAUAAGAGGUCAGCCUGCCCAGUGACUCAGUUUAACGGCCGCGGUAUUCUAACCGUGCAAAGGUAGCGUAAUAACUUGUCUUCUAAAUAAGGACUAGUAUGAAAGGCAUCACGAGGAACAAUCUGUCUCCUUUUUCUAAUCAGCGAAACUAAUCUCCCCGUGAAGAAGCGGGGAUGUAUUUAUAAGACGAGAAGACCCUAUGGAGCUUUAGACAUACCAAUUUUUGUUCCUACACUCAAACUUCAGAGUUAAACCUCUAACAUAAAAUUGGAAGUCUUUGGUUGGGGCGACCGCGGAGAAAAACCCAUCCUCCGCGAUGAAAAGAAUUAUUCCUUAACUACAAGCCACAGCUUCACGUAUCAAUAAAUUGUCACUAUUGACCCAGUAUUCUGAUCAACGAACCAAGUUACCCUAGGGAUAACAGCGCAAUCCACUUUGAGAGCUCAUAUCGACAAGUGGGCUUACGACCUCGAUGUUGGAUCAGGGUAUCCUAGUGGUGCAGCCGCUACUAAGGUUCGUUUGUUCAACGAUUAAAACCCU
rnacentral:rRNA from 1 species